UACGUAGGGUGCAAGCGUUAUCCGGAAUUAUUGGGCGUAAAGAGCUCGUAGGCGGUUUGUCGCGUCUGCUGUGAAAACCCGAGGCUCAACCUCGGGCCUGCAGUGGGUACGGGCAGACUAGAGUGUGGUAGGGGAGACUGGAAUUCCUGGUGUAGCGGUGAAAUGCGCAGAUAUCAGGAGGAACACCGAUGGCGAAGGCAGGUCUCUGGGCCACUACUGACGCUGAGGAGCGAAAGCGUGGGGAGCAAACAGG
rnacentral:rRNA from 1 species